rnacentral:rRNA from 1 species
UACGGAGGGUGCGAGCGUUGUCCGGAAUCACUGGGCGUAAAGGGCGCGUAGGCGGCCUGAUAAGUAGGGGGUGAAAUCCUGCGGCUUAACCGCAGGGCUGCCUUCUAAACUGUCGGGCUCGAGCACAGUAGAGGCAGGUGGAAUUCCCGGUGUAGCGGUGGAAUGCGUAGAGAUCGGGAAGAACACCCGUGGCGAAAGCGGCUCUCUGGAACGGUACUGACGCUGAGACGCGAAAGCGUGGGGAGCGAAACAGG